CACGUAGGGGGCAAGCGUUGUUCGGAUUCAUUGGGCGUAAAGGGUGCGUAGGUGGUGCUGUAAGUCAGGUGUGAAAUCUCGGGGCUCAACCCCGAAACUGCACUUGAUACUGCAGUGCUCGAGGACUGGAGAGGAGAUCGGAAUUCAUGGUGUAGCAGUGAAAUGCGUAGAUAUCAUGAGGAAGACCAGUGGCGAAGGCGGAUCUCUGGACAGUUCCUGACACUGAGGCACGAAGGCCAGGGGAGCAAACGGG
rnacentral:rRNA from 1 species